rnacentral:rRNA from 1 species
UACGUAGGUGACCAGCGUUGUCCGGAUUUACUGGGCGUAAAGAGCGCGCAGGCGGUCGUUCAAGUCGAGUGUGAAAGCCCCCGGCUCAACUGGGGAGGGUCAUUCGAUACUGAUCGACUCGAAGGCAGGAGAGGGAAGUGGAAUUCCCGGUGUAGUGGUGAAAUGCGUAGAUAUCGGGAGGAACACCAGUGGCGAAGGCGACUUCCUGGCCUGUUCUUGACGCUGAGGAGCGAAAGCCAGGGGAGCAAACGGG